rnacentral:lncRNA from 1 species
CUAAUCACUAAUUAUCCACCUAAAACUCAUUUCCUACUUCUUCUUCUCUCUCUCUCCUUCCCCCACCUACCAGCCGCCUCCCUUCUCUUCUAAAAUUCUCGGCCACCACCGCCCGUCGAUCUGCCGCCUCCACCGCCACCACCGCCCGUCGAUCUGCCGGCCACCACCGUCAUUUCCUCUCUUCCUCUAUUCUCAGUUUCUCACGCACCCACUCAACCAGUGAACCCAAAUCCUAAGUCUUCUCUCGUCGCCUCCACCUUUCUCUCUCCGUUGAAGAGCGCCGCCGCCGGCUUCGCUCUCCCCUCUCUCGCCAAUUUUUUCCGCUCGAUUCCCGGUGACGACAGCCAACCUCCGCCGCGCCCAAGCCCCUGCCUCCCUCUCUGAUCACUCCAUCGCGCCUCCUCCGUCGUCGACGAAAUCUUCAGCCCCACCGCCAGGAGACGCAGCAGCGGCGCGGUCCGCCUCCACCCUCGGCGUAGCCCCUUUCCGCCUCCACUCUAGUUUCUGGAUUUUCAAUUUUUGUCUUCAAUACUUGGGUUUCAAUGUUUGUGGGUAGAUCUGGUUUUGAUAUUUGUUUCGAUUUUGGUUUCGAUACUUGUGAACUUGUGGAUUUUGAUUUUUGUUUGUGGAUUUGGAUUUGUGGAUUUUUGUUUGUCGAUUUUGCAUAUUGUUUGUGGGUUUUGCUGGUGAAUCGAGCUGGCCGACGACGGAGGCAUCGGCGGUGGCGACUCUCCACCGCGAGCCCGGCGGCGCUGGAGGAUGAAGGAGGCGGCGGCGGCCGUUCUCUGUCUCCGGCACAAAGGGCGUACGCCCUGUUCCGAACGAGAGGCGGAGAGAGAGAGAUGGAGAGAGGGAAGAGGGAAGGGAGAGAGAGGUGACAGGGGGAGGACGGAGAGGGGCUGACGACAGAGGCGCUCGCCGGCGGUGGCGCCG